rnacentral:lncRNA from 1 species
GAAUUCCAGGGUAUAUCUGGGAGGCCGGAGGACGUGUCUGGUUAUUACACAGAUGCACAGCUGGACGUGGGAUCCACACAGCUCAGAACAGUUGGAUCUUGCUCAGUCUCUGUCAGAGGAAGAUCCCUUGGAUGCCCCACAACCACUUGGAGGGAGAUGCUUUGCUGAGAGUCCCUGUCCUCUGCAUCUGGAGAGCUUGGCUCAGAGCUGAGGUGGGAGGGAGGGCUCCUCUUCCAGGUCGCUCAGUUGGACACCGGAAUUGACCAGCCUGCAGGCUCACCCAUGGAGUACACACUGUGUCCUAGUCAAGCCUGAGGGGCAGUAUCCAGCCUCAACCCCCAGCAGAGGCUCCAGACAAAGGUGGGAGCCAGGCCAACAAUGACCCAGGAGGAUGGGAUCCUGGAUGCAGCUCCUCACAAGUAUUGGGCAGGUCCGAGGCCCCAGCUCUGUCUGCCCUCCUGCUCCUCUUCUCCCUCCUGGUCCUCCUGGUUCUCAUGGCUCAUGAGAUGGCGUUGAGACAGCUCCCC